UGUCAUUGACUGCAUCAUGUUUUUAAAAAAAGGGAAUAAUACAAACUCGAUUCAUUUCAUGCGUUAUUAUUAUUAUUAUUUUUUUUCAGAAACAUUGUUUUUUCAAAAUAUUUGAAAAUCGGGAUAUACCGGUAUAUAUUUAUAUAUACAAUGUAUAUCUUGUUUAAAAAUGACAUUGACUGUUGUAAAUUAUUAUUUUCUUUGACAUUUUGUGAAAGAGCAAUGCGAGUAUGUGAGAUAAUUGUGUAGAAAAUAAAGAUUUUAUACCACAGUU
rnacentral:misc_RNA from 1 species